rnacentral:tRNA from 1 species
AAAGAUGUAGCUUAGUGGUAGAGUGUUUGCCUACUAUGCAUGAGGCCCUGAGUUGGAUCCCCAGCACCUCAA